GAUGAACGCUGGCGGCGUGCCUAAUACAUGCAAGUCGAACGGGGACUACUUGAAUUCGUUUGAGUAGUCUUAGUGGCGAACGGGUGAGUAACGCGUUGGUGACCUGCCCCGAAGCGGGGGAUACCAGUUCGAAAGGACUGCUAAUACCCCAUGAAGUCAAAUGGAUUAGAAGCCAUAUGACAAAAGGAGAAAUUCGCUUUGGGAGGGGCCUGCGUCCCAUCAGCUAGUUGGUAGGGUAAAAGCCUACCAAGGCUAUGACAGGUAGGGGACCUGAGAGGGUGGCCCCCCACACUGGAACUGAAACACGGUCCAGACACCUACGGGUGGCAGCAGUAGGGAAUAUUGCUUAAUGGGCGAAAGCCUGAAGCAGCAACGCCGCGUGUGCGAUGAAGGCCUUCGGGUUGUAAAGCACUUUUGGAGGGAUGAGG
rnacentral:rRNA from 1 species